UGUGUGUAUAUAUAUAUAUAUAUUUAAAUGAUGGAUCUAUCUCCAUGCUCAGGUCAUCAGUAAGAAAAUGUAUUCUUGACAACAGCUGGUUAAUUAAAUGGGCAUAUUUACCAUCAAAAUGUCAAAUCUCUGCUCAAAUCAUUACAGUUCAGACUCCCAAACAUGACCAGAAAUGGUCCUAACAGGACAGAUACUGCAGUAAACUUAUGCUAUUGAGAUCAGAAGCAAUGCAUAUCUGCAACAGAAAAAGAUAUAUCCACGACUAUGGCAUUAGUUUCCGUUGUUUGACCAAACAAAAUUCGGUCUCCGUUAAUAUGAGCACAAGCUUUGGCUAAAGGAAAUGACCCAAUGCUUCAACCUUCCUAGCAAUUUGCAUAUUUUAAAAGCAUCAACCAAAUUUUCAUGCCUAAUAUUGCAUUCACUCAGAAAAGAAAAAAUAUAGUUACCAAUAAGUUAUCCAAGGAACAAAAAUAUGCUGAAUUCCUAACCAUGUAAGAGGUAACGCCCAAUCAAAUUGGACAUGGAACAUUCCAUUUCAAUCAAUGGUUUGGCCAUGCACAACAUGGACUGAUAAAUGUAUUGGUGCAGAAAAGUAAGUGGACUAAGAAAUAGACAAGAACAGAAAAAUGAUAAGUAUCUAAACGGUAAAAAAUGACUUAAUAUUUUCAUUAUAUCUUA
rnacentral:misc_RNA from 1 species